CCUACGGGAGGCAGCAGUGAGGAAUAUUGGGCAAUGGGCGCAGGCCUGAACCAGCGAAGUCGCGUGAGGGAAGACGGCCCUAUGGGUUGUAAACCUCGUUUAUAAGGGAAGAAGAAUGACUACGUGUAGUCAGAUGCCCGUACCUUAUGAAUAAGCAUCGGCUAACUCCGUGCCAGCAGCCGCGGUAAUACGGAGGAUGCGAGCGUUAUCCGGAUUUGUUGGGUUUAACGGGUGCGUAGGCGGUAUUUUAAGUUAGUGGUAAAACGUCGGGGCUGCACCUUGAUUGGCCAUUGAGACUGGAGUACUAGAGUACAGAAGAGGUAGGCGGAAUAAG
rnacentral:rRNA from 1 species